CUCGCUAAUCCCCCUUUAUAAAUUUCAGGCACAUUUUUGGGAUUCCUCCCCCCUUCGCCAGUUGUGAGCAGCAGAGGAAGGGGCGAACGUUUUACUCGGUGACAUUUACAGGGACAGUUGCAAAAAAUGAUCUACAAGCGGCAAGCUCUCGUUUCAUGUGACGGACGGUGUGCAGGAAAUACUCACGUGUGCCAAUAAAGGGUCAUUCAUUUCUGUGCAAUGGUCAAAGAAAAUGAGGCAAACUUUCUUCCUGAGAGGGAUAUUACUUCCGCUCACAUGCCAAACACCUGGCCUCUUGUUCCUGUUUUCUAUCACCUGUCCCUGGUCACUCAGUGUACUCUCCGGUUGUAUAGCCAAGCUGAUAAAAACCUCUCUCCUAUGGACACCAAGAUAAGAGCCUGUGAUUACGACAGGUGGAAUAGCUGGUGUGCACUCUCACCU